AGAGUUUGAUCAUGGCUCAGAGCGAACGCUGGCGGCAGGCUUAACACAUGCAAGUCGAACGCGUGUAGCAAUACACGAGUGGCGCACGGGUGAGUAACGCGUGGAUAUCUGCCUUUUGGUUCGGAAUAACCUUGGGAAACCGAGGCUAAUACCGGAUGGUUCCUACGGGAUAAAGAUUUAUCGCCAAAAGAUGAGUCCGCGUCCGAUUAGCUAGUUGGUGAGGUAACGGCUCACCAAGGCGACGAUCGGUAGCUGGUCUGAGAGGACGAUCAGCCACACUGGGACUGAGACACGGCCCAGACUCCUACGGGAGGCAGCAGUGGGGAAUAUUGGACAAUGGGGGCAACCCUGAUCCAGCCAUGCCGCGUGAGUGAUGAAGGCCUUCGGGUUGUAAAGCUCUUUUGGCGGGGACGAUGAUGACGGUACCCGCAGAAUAAGCCCCGGCUAACUUCGUGCCAGCAGCCGCGGUAAGACGAAGGGGGCUAGCGUUGUUCGGAAUUACUGGGCGUAAAGCGCGUGUAGGCGGUUGUCCAAGUUGGAUGUGAAAGCCUUGAGCUUAACUCAAGAAAUGCAUUCAGGACUGGAUGACUAGAGGACCGGAGAGGAUAGUGGAAUUCCCAGUGUAGUGGUGAAAUACGUAGAGAUUGGGAAGAACACCAGUGGCGAAGGCGGCUAUCUGGACGGUUUCUGACGCUAAGACGCGAAAGCGUGGGGAGCAAACAGGAUUAGAUACCCUAGUAGUCC
rnacentral:rRNA from 1 species